UACGUAGGCAGCAAGCGUUGUUCGGAGUUACUGGGCGUAAAGGGCGUGCAGGCGGUCUGAUAAGUUCGGCGUGAAAUAUUCCGGCUUAACCGGGAUAGGUCGUCGGAGACUGUCGGACUAGAGGGUGAUAGAGGCGUGUGGAAUUCCGGGUGUAGUGGUGAAAUGCGUAGAGAUCCGGAGGAACACCAGUGGCGAAGGCGACACGCUGGGUCACACCUGACGCUAAAGCGCGACAGCAUGGGGAGCGAACGGG
rnacentral:rRNA from 1 species